AGAUUGAACGCUGGCGGCAGGCCUAACACAUGCAAGUCGAGCGGUAGCACAGAGAGCUUGCUCUCGGGUGACGAGCGGCGGACGGGUGAGUAAUGUCUGGGAAACUGCCUGAUGGAGGGGGAUAACUACUGGAAACGGUAGCUAAUACCGCAUAACGUCGCAAGACCAAAGUGGGGGACCUUCGGGCCUCAUGCCAUCAGAUGUGCCCAGAUGGGAUUAGCUAGUAGGUGGGGUAACGGCUCACCUAGGCGACGAUCCCUAGCUGGUCUGAGAGGAUGACCAGCCACACUGGAACUGAGACACGGUCCAGACUCCUACGGGAGGCAGCAGUGGGGAAUAUUGCACAAUGGGCGCAAGCCUGAUGCAGCCAUGCCGCGUGUGUGAAGAAGGCCUUCGGGUUGUAAAGCACUUUCAGCGGGGAGGAAGGCGUUAAGGUUAAUAACCUUGGCGAUUGACGUUACCCGCAGAAGAAGCACCGGCUAACUCCGUGCCAGCAGCCGCGGUAAUACGGAGGGUGCAAGCGUUAAUCGGAAUUACUGGGCGUAAAGCGCACGCAGGCGGUCUGUCAAGUCGGAUGUGAAAUCCCCGGGCUCAACCUGGGAACUGCAUUCGAAACUGGCAGGCUAGAGUCUUGUAGAGGGGGGUAGAAUUCCAGGUGUAGCGGUGAAAUGCGUAGAGAUCUGGAGGAAUACCGGUGGCGAAGGCGGCCCCCUGGACAAAGACUGACGCUCAGGUGCGAAAGCGUGGGGAGCAAACAGGAUUAGAUACCCUGGUAGUCCACGCCGUAAACGAUGUCGAUUUGGAGGUUGUGCCCUUGAGGCGUGGCUUCCGGAGCUAACGCGUUAAAUCGACCGCCUGGGGAGUACGGCCGCAAGGUUAAAACUCAAAUGAAUUGACGGGGGCCCGCACAAGCGGUGGAGCAUGUGGUUUAAUUCGAUGCAACGCGAAGAACCUUACCUGGUCUUGACAUCCACAGAACUUUCCAGAGAUGGAUUGGUGCCUUCGGGAACUGUGAGACAGGUGCUGCAUGGCUGUCGUCAGCUCGUGUUGUGAAAUGUUGGGUUAAGUCCCGCAACGAGCGCAACCCUUAUCCUUUGUUGCCAGCGGUCCGGCCGGGAACUCAAAGGAGACUGCCAGUGAUAAACUGGAGGAAGGUGGGGAUGACGUCAAGUCAUCAUGGCCCUUACGACCAGGGCUACACACGUGCUACAAUGGCAUAUACAAAGAGAAGCGACCUCGCGAGAGCAAGCGGACCUCAUAAAGUAUGUCGUAGUCCGGAUUGGAGUCUGCAACUCGACUCCAUGAAGUCGGAAUCGCUAGUAAUCGUAGAUCAGAAUGCUACGGUGAAUACGUUCCCGGGCCUUGCACACACCG
rnacentral:rRNA from 1 species